GUGUAAUAAUUGAACGACAAAAGAAAUAACCCUUAUCUCAAAAACGGCAAAAUAAAAAAUUAGGACAAAAACAUAAAAAAAUCUAGGACUCGCAAAAGCCCUUCUCUCCCUCUCAAAAUCUCGCUUUCACAAAAAUUCUUCAAUCGUUAAUCUCUGCAACUCUCUCUUCCCGAAAUUGGAGAUAAAUCGAAAAUUUUCCUCCCAAUACAAAUCAUGGUUAUGAUUUAUGAAACCUGAAAUGCAUUGGUGCAGAUUUAUCAAAGAGAUGCUUGUUAUUAUAUUUAUUAUGAAAUCUUUUAUUUGUUUGAAUCCUCUGAUAUCCACAAUGUGUUGACAUCAACUGUGUGACAGUGUUACUUGUGUCAAUUUCUUUCAUUAUGUUGUAUAACUAGGAACUUGUGUUAUGCAUUAUAUGAUGAGGUUUUGAGUUUGUUGUUGGCUGUGAUGUAUAUUCAUCAAAUAGUAGAAAACAAAAACAAACAGCUUCUUGAUUUUGUAAUUAUGAUGUUUAUUUAUUUGUUCAUAUGUUUAUUUAUUUGUAAA